CUACGGGGGGCUGCAGUGAGGAAUAUUGCACAAUGGGGGAAACCCUGAUGCAGCAACGCCGCGUGGAGGAUGACGCAUUUCGGUGUGUAAACUCCUUUUAUGAGUCAAGAAAAUGACGGUAGCUCAUGAAUAAGCACCGGCUAACUCCGUGCCAGCAGCCGCGGUAAUACGGAGGGUGCAAGCGUUACUCGGAAUCACUGGGCGUAAAGGACGCGUAGGCGGGUUGUCAAGUCAGGUGUGAAAUCCUACAGCUUAACUGUAGAACUGCACUUGAAACUGGCAACCUAGAGUAUGGGAGGGGGAGAUGGAAUUAGUGGUGUAGGGGUAAAAUCCGUAGAUAUCACUAGGAAUACCGAAAGCGAAGGCGAUCUCCUGGAACAUUACUGACGCUAAGGCGUGAAAGCGUGGGGAGCAAACAGGAUUAGAUACCCCUGUAGUC
rnacentral:rRNA from 1 species